CCCUACUAGUGGCACAUCCAUCAGCAGCACAAGAGUUGCAGAUGUCAUAGGAUGGACCCAAGCUGAGGCAGGUGCCUUGUCUCCCUCACUGGUGUACUGUCUCAUUUUUAAUGUUACGCAAAGGUAAAGGGAGCCCAAGGAAGAGUUGAGAUAACAAAGAGAAGAGAAGAAAUGGAGGCCUGUUCUCAAAUGGAGGAUUACUACAGCUUAAGGUUAAUGUAGAAGUAAAAGUGAAGGGAGUUCCCUGGUGGUCUAGUGGUUAGGACUCAGUGCUUUCACC
rnacentral:lncRNA from 1 species